rnacentral:rRNA from 1 species
GAUGAACGCUGGCGGCGUGCUUAACACAUGCAAGUCGAGCGAUGAAGUUUCCUUCGGGAAAUGGAUUAGCGGCGGACGGGUGAGUAACACGUGGGUAACCUGCCUCAUAGAGUGGAAUAGCCUUCCGAAAGGAAGAUUAAUACCGCAUAAUGUUGAAAGAUGGCAUCAUCAUUCAACCAAAGGAGCAAUCCGCUAUGAGAUGGACCCGCGGCGCAUUAGCUAGUUGGUGGGGUAACGGCCUACCAAGGCGACGAUGCGUAGCCGACCUGAGAGGGUGAUCGGCCACAUUGGGACUGAGACACGGCCCAGACUCCUACGGGAGGCAGCAGUGGGGAAUAUUGCACAAUGGGGGAAACCCUGAUGCAGCAACGCCGCGUGAGUGAUGAAGGUUUUCGGAUCGUAAAGCUCUGU